GAAUUUGCUAGAGGAAUCUUGCGGCCAUGCACUGCAGACAGGACCGAUGAAGGACGUUUGAGGCUGCGAUAUGCCUCGGGGAGCCGCCAACAGGGCUUUGAUCCGAGGAUUUCCGAAUGGGGGAACCCACCGACCGUCAUGGGUCGGUACCGGCUUCGGCCGGGGGGUACGCAGGGAAGUGAAACAUCUCAGUACCUGCAGGAAAGGAUAUUCCGUGAGUAGUGGCGAGCGAAAGCGGAUGAUGGCCAAACCUUGCGCGUGUGAUACCCGUCGGGGGUUGCGCGCGGGGUGUUGCGGGAUCGCGUGCGCCGGCUCCGACGGGCCGGCCGGCAGUUGCAGAAAACCAUGUGUCAGGGGAACCGGGUUGAAUACCGGGCCGCAGAGGGUGAGGGCCCCGUACCUGAACGCGCAUGGUCUGCCGAUCGCGUCUCCCAAGUAGCACGGGUCCCGUGGAACCCCGUGCGAAUCCGCCCAGACCGUUGGGUAAGCCUGAAUAUUCCUGUCUGACCGAUAGCGAACGAGUACCGUGAGGGAAAGGUGAAAAGUACCCCGGGAGGGGAGUGAAACAGUCUCUGAAACCGUGCGCCUACAAUCCGUCGGAGCCCUUUUGUGGGGUGACGGCGUGCCUAUCGAAAAAUGAGUCUGCGAGUCAGUGGCAUGUGGCGAGCAUAACCCGUGUGGGGUAUGCGUAGCGAAGGCGAGUCUU
rnacentral:rRNA from 1 species